CCUACGGGAGGCAGCAGUGGGGAAUAUUGCUCAAUGGGCGAAAGCCUGACGCAGCGACGCCGCGUGAGGGAUGAAGGUCUUCGGAUUGUAAACCUCUGUCAGCAGGGAAGAACGGUCACUGUGCUAAUCAGCAGUGAAUUGACGGUACCUGCACAGGAAGCACCGGCUAACUCCGUGCCAGCAGCCGCGGUAAUACGGAGGGUGCUAGCGUUAAUCGGAAUUACUGGGCGUAAAGCGCUCGUAGGCGGUUUGUCAAGUCAAGGGUGAAAUCCCCGCGCUGAACGUGGGAACUGCCUUUGAAACUGGCAUACUGGAGUAUGGGAGAGGGAAGUGGAAUUCCAGGUGUAGGAGUGAAAUCCGUAGAGAUCAAGAGGAACAUCAGUGGCGAAGGCGACUAUCUGGAACAUAACUGACGCUGAGGAGCGAAAGCGUGGGUAGCAAACAGGAUUAGAUACCCGUGUAGUC
rnacentral:rRNA from 1 species